AUACGUAGGGGGCGAGCGUUGUCCGGAAUGAUUGGGCGUAAAGGGCGCGUAGGCGGCCUGUUAAGUCUGGAGUGAAAGUCCUGUUUUCAAGAUGGGAAUUGCUUUGGAUACUGAUGGGCUUGAGUGCAGGAGAGGUUAUCGGAAUUCCCGGUGUAGCGGUGAAAUGCGUAGAGAUCGGGAGGAACACCAGUGGCGAAGGCGGGUAACUGGACUGCAACUGACGCUGAGGCGCGAAAGUGUGGGGAGCAAACAGGAUUAGAUACCCUGGUAGUCCACGCGGUAAACGAUGAAUGCUAGGUGUUGCGGGUAUCGACCCCUGCAGUGCCGGAGUCAACACAAUAAGCAUUCCGCCUGGGGAGUACGGCCGCAAGGUUGAAACUCAAAUGAAUUGACGGGG
rnacentral:rRNA from 1 species